rnacentral:rRNA from 1 species
CCUACGGGAGGCAGCAGUGGGGAAUAUUGGACAAUGGGCGAAAGCCUGAUCCAGCAACGCCGCGUGAGGGAUGACGGCCUUCGGGUUGUAAACCUCUUUCAGCAGGGACGCGGUACCUGCAGAAGAAGCACCGGCCAACUACGUGCCAGCAGCCGCGGUAAUACGUAGGGUGCAAGCGUUGUCCGGAAUUAUUGGGCGUAAAGGGCUCGUAGGCGGUCCAUCGCGUCGGGAGUGAAAAGCUGGGGCUCAACCCCAGUCCUGCUUCCGAUACGGGUGGACUAGAGGUAUGCAGGGGAGAACGGAAUUCCUGGUGUAGCGGUGAAAUGCGCAGAUAUCAGGAGGAACACCGGUGGCGAAGGCGGUUCUCUGGGCAUUCCUGACGCUGAGGAGCGAAAGCGUGGGGAGCAAACAGGAUUAGAUACCCUGGUAGUC